rnacentral:lncRNA from 1 species
GUUCUCUCUCACUUUUCUCCAUUCCAAAACAUUUACAGCCACUUGCUACAUACAUGAAAACUUUCUAGCUGAACUCUGCGAAGACACAAAAAAAACAGUUGCCUGUGGACUGCCUCCCUUCUCCCUCAAGGCUAUUUGCUCUAAACCUUCAAAGAAAAUUUCUAACCCUUAGAUUUGGGCCCCAGACUGUUCCUUACCUUCCCAUGUCUCCAUUUCAUGCUUCUUGUAGUCUGCUGAAAAGUUCUAUUGCAGCCAUGAAGAAACAGAGAUUACAGGACAAGUCCAGCUUGAUGACUACCCUUCCGACACUUGGUCAAUUCCUCUAAGCCGGGACUACGACAGUCAUCCUCACAGUCCACCCAGAUUCCCAGGAGCAACCUUCAUUUGGAACAAAAGACAAGACUUAUGCAGACCCUCCAUAGAACUGACCCCGGGCUCAGAUGUGUAAGGACAAAUCAGUGUGGAAAGCAGAGAAAAAAACAGUUCCAGGACUGAGAGGAGACCAAUGACUUCUAGAAAAUGCUUUCCUGGGACUUCUUCAAGCAUCCCUUCUUGACAAGCCUGCUUGGACAGAUACCCCAGCAUCUCUUCAGGACUUAAAAUAGCACUGCACCUAAAGGGAAGAGUACCAGGAACAUAAGCAGGGGGAGCUCACAUCUGAGCACUAUGCAAAGGAACCUCAUAGAUACUCCCCUCUUCUCAGUUACUUAACUGGGUUAGCAGAUGGGCCAGUUGCAAAUCACACCAAUCUAAGAAUUUGCCUGCCAAGGAAUUAUACCCUUAAAAAUGAUCCAAUUUCAGUUACAACUCUUGUACUGUGGGUAAGGUAAACCCCCAUAUAUCCUAUCAAUGUCAAUGCAAAGUAGUAGUUUGGGUUUUUCUUUCUUUCUUUUCUUUCUUUCUUUCUUUCUUUCUUUUCUUUCUUUCUUUCACAUCUUCCAUCACACAACCAUUAUACAAAUUGGUACAACAUUUUGAGAGGUUAUUUUUGGCAUUAUUUAUUAAAGCCAAGCCCAUGCUUUAAAAUGCCCAUGCCAUUUAAUAUAGCAGUUCUAAUUCUAGGAAUGUACCUUACAGAAGUACUUGUGCAGGAGUGAGAAGAUAUUCAUGGCAGUACUGUAUAUAGUAGCUAAAUAAAUUUUAAAAUUCAAAGCCAGGAGUGGUGGCUUAUACCUGUAAUCCCAGCCUUUGGGAGGCUGAAGAGGAAGGAUCGCUUGAGGCCGGGAGUUUGAGACCAGCCUGGCCAACAUGGUGAGACCCUAUCUCUACAAAAAAUUUAAAAUUUAGCUGGAUGUGGUGGCACAUACCUGUAGUCCCAUCUAUUUGGGAGCUGACACGGAAGGACCAAUUAAGCCCAGAAGUUUGAUGCUGCAGUGAGCUAAGAAGGUGCUACUGCACUCCAGCAUGGGCAAGAGAGCAACCCUGUCUCUAAAAUAAAAUUAAAAUUAAAAUUAAAAUUAAGGCCUGGUGUGGUGGCUCACACCUAUAAUACCACCACUUUUGAAGGCCAAGGUGGGCAGAUUGCUUGAGCCCAGGAGUUUGAGACCAGCCUGGGCAACAUGACAAGACCGUCUCUAAAAAAAUAAAUAAAAAUAAAAAACACAAAAAUUAGCCAGGCAUGGUGCCACACACCUGUAGUCCAAGCUACUAGGGAGGCUGAGGUGGGAGGAUCGCUUGAGCCUGGGAGGUUGAGGCUGCACUGAGGCGUGAGCAAGCCACUUUCACUCCAGCCUGGGUGACAGGGCAAGACUCUAUCUCAAACAAAACAAAAAAUAAAUAAGUAAAUAAAAAUUAAAAGAAAAGCUCAAACUUUGCAAUCAAUAGGGGGAUGGCUAAUAAAUCUGUAUAAUACAAAGAAC